AAAAAGGUAAGCUAAGUAAGCUAAUGGGUUCAUACCCCACGUAUAGAAGCAUACCCUUCUCCUUUUUA
rnacentral:tRNA from 1 species